rnacentral:rRNA from 1 species
AUGAACGCUAGCGGCAGGCUUAACACAUGCAAGUCGAGGGGCAGCACGGGUAGCAAUACUUGGUGGCGACCGGCGCAAGGGUGCGUAACGCGUGAGCAACAUGCCCGUAUCAGGGGGAUAAUCCAGGGAAACUUGGUCUAAUACCCCAUAGCAAUUGGAGGAGGCAUCUUUUCAAUUUAAAGCUUUGGUGGAUACGGAUUGGCUCGCGUGACAUUAGCUAGAUGGUAAGGUAACGGCUUACCAUGGCUACGAUGUCUAGGGGUUCUGAGAGGAAGAUCCCCCACACUGGAACUGAGACACGGUCCAGACUCCUACGGGAGGCAGCAGUGAGGAAUAUUGGACAAUGGAUGGAAAUCUGAUCCAGCCAUGCCGCGUGCAGGAAGACGGCCCUAUGGGUUGUAAACUGCUUUUGUAUGGGAGCAAUAAGGUCUAUGCGUAGACUGAUGAGAGUACCAUACGAAUAAGCAUCGGCUAACUCCGUG